rnacentral:rRNA from 1 species
GAUGAACGCUGGCGGCGUGCUUAACACAUGCAAGUCGAACGAACCGGUUUUCGGAUCGGUUAGUGGCAGACGGGUGCGUAACACGUAGGUGACUUGCCCUGGAGUGGGGAAUAACUAUCCUAACGGAUGGCUAAUACCGCAUAUGCUCGGUGGUUCGUUCCAUUGAGUAAAGCCGAAAGGCGCUUCAGGAUGGGCCUGCGGCGGAUUAGGUAGUUGGUGGGGUAAUGGCCUACCAAGCCGAUGAUCCGUAGGGGGCGUGAGAGCGUGACCCCCCACACUGGCACUGAGAUACGGGCCAGACUCCUACGGGUGGCAG